CGAAUAAUAUUUAGAAGUAUAAUCAUAAAUCGACAAGUUCGUGUAUUUAUAAGAGGAUAGUGGUAAUCUGUUCAAAAAUAUAUCUAGAACCACGGUGAUCAUUAAUUAAGAUCGGGGGACAUCAUUUGGCGAUGGGUACCUAAAGUUCUUCCUAAUCAAUCUUUUGUCCAUUCGGUCAAUUAUUAUAUUGAAACCAGUACCUGCUGCACUUGUCUAAAUCAGUGCUCGCCACUGUUGAAAUCGUGAGGUGAGUGCUCAAUGGCGGCUGGGUGUGUAUGGGAGAGGGAGAUGUAAUUAGAUGG